rnacentral:rRNA from 1 species
GCUUGUCUCAAAGAUUAAGCCAUGCAUGUCUUAGUGUAAAUAACUCUUAUGAAACUGCGAAUGGCUCAUUAAAUCAGUUAUCAAAUACGUGAUGGUCGCCUACUACAUGGAUAACCGUAGUAAUUCUAGAGCUAAUACAUGCACAAAGGCCCACUCACGUGGGUUGUGAUUAUUAGAUUCAAACCAAUGCGGGGCAACCCGGUAUAUGGUGAUUCAUAAUAACUUUCGGAUCGAUCUUCGGAUCGAUGCAUCAUUCAAGUUUCUGCCCUAUCAGCUUUGGAUGGUAGGGUAUUGGCCUACCAUGGCUUUAACGGGUAACGGAGAAUU